CUCAAUUGUCCUUCAGAUCUCAUUAAGAAUCGACGAUGAGUCGCCCGCGCAACGCGGAAACUCGCUACGCUUGUCCGUGGGUUCGAGCGUAUUAAAAGGAUUCGUCAUGGCGGGACAGGUAUGACGAUGUUUGUAUUCAUUGGUGUGAUCCCGAAUAGCAAUCGUCACAUACACUGGGACACUUUUCCCCGACGGAUAGCCCGUCUAUCGCGUCAUGGUUGAUGGAAAAUAGGAAAAGAACACGGCACAGACGGCGAGAAAGCCAACGGUCAAAGAUCCAUCUAUUGAUAAUGACUCGAUUGGCGAUGAUUCACAAAUAGAUUCAGAUUUUGCGCAUUUUUUGUGCGCAGUAACUGCAGGCGAAGAGUUUCAUCUAGAUUAGGAUUCUAAUUUCUAUUCGUUCCUUGUAAGGAUAUUUAUGAAUGUGAACCGUGACUGUCCGUUCUGCAUCGAUAUUUUACGAUCGUGACGAGAUACACCAAGUGCACGGAUCAAUGACGUAACGCAGUCAGUGAUCGUGCAGAACAACGGGACUAGAUACCUGAUUGGAUGUAGAGCACCCGGAUAGGCAAUCUAUGGCAUACAUCGAAUUUAUACAAUUCACUUUCAACGAUCGUUUCAAUAAAUCGAUUGAAGUGAAUACACUGAUUGAACAAGUUGCUUGGAUAAAAGUGCUUAGUUCCUCUUACGUUAAGAGUUCCUCUUAGACUUGCGUAUCUCUUUACAUAACU